rnacentral:rRNA from 1 species
UACGUAGGUGGCAAGCGUUAUCCGGAAUUAUUGGGCGUAAAGCGCGCGCAGGUGGUUUCUUAAGUCUGAUGUGAAAGCCCACGGCUCAACCGUGGAGGGCCAUUGGAAACUGGGGAACUUGAGUGCAGAAGAGGAUAGUGGAAUUCCAAGUGUAGCGGUGAAAUGCGUAGAGAUUUGGAGGAACACCAGUGGCGAAGGCGACUAUCUGGUCUGCAACUGACACUGAGGCGCGAAAGCGUGGGGAGCAAACAGG